rnacentral:tRNA from 1 species
CAGAAGAUAGUUUAAUAUUAAAACAUAAGCUUUGGGAGUUUAAAAUGAUAAUUUAUCUUUUCUGA